UCCGGGGGUAGAGCACUGUUUCGGCUAGGGGGCCAUCCCGGCUUACCAACCCGAUGCAAACUGCGAAUACCGGAGAAUGUUAUCACGGGAGACACACGGCGGGUGCUAACGUCCGUCGUGAAGAGGGAAACAACCCAGACCGCCAGCUAAGGUCCCAAAGUCAUGGUUAAGUGGGAAACGAUGUGGGAAGGCCCAGACAGCCAGGAUGUUGGCUUAGAAGCAGCCAUCAUUUAAAGAAAGCGUAAUAGCUCACUGGUCGAGUCGGCCUGCGCGGAAGAUGUAACGGGGCUAAACCAUGCACCGAAGCUGCGGCAGCGACACUGUGUGUUGUUGGGUAGGGGAGCGUUCUGUAAGCCUGUGAAGGUGUGUCGUGAGGC
rnacentral:rRNA from 2 species